rnacentral:rRNA from 1 species
UUUGAUCCUGGCUCAGAACGAACGCUGGCGGCAUGCCUAACACAUGCAAGUCGAACGAACCCUUCGGGGUUAGUGGCGCACGGGUGCGUAACGCGUGGGGAUCUGCCCAAAGGUUCGGAAUAACUCAGAGAAAUUUGAGCUAAUACCGGAUAAUGUCUUCGGACCAAAGAUUUAUUGCCUUUGGAUGAACCCGCGUAGGAUUAGCUUGUUGGUGGGGUAAAGGCCUACCAAGGCGACGAUCCUUAGCUGGUCUGAGAGGAUGAUCAGCCACACUGGGACUGAGACACGGCCCAGACUCCUACGGGAGGCAGCAGUGGGGAAUAUUGGACAAUGGGCGAAAGCCUGAUCCAGCAAUGCCGCGUGAGUGAUGAAGGCCUUAGGGUUGUAAAGCUCUUUUACCAGGGAUGAUAAUGACAGUACCUGGAGAAUAAGCUCCGGCUAACUCCGUG